rnacentral:rRNA from 1 species
UGUGUAGGCGGUGCUCUAAGUCUGUUGUGAAAUCUCCCGGCUUAACUGGGAGGGUGCGGCGGAAACUGGAGUGCUCGAGGGAUGGAGAGGAUAGCGGAAUUCCUGGUGUAGCGGUGAAAUGCGUAGAUAUCAGGAGGAACACCUGUGGUGUAGACAGCUAUCUGGACAUUUUCUGACGCUGAGACACGAAAGCGUGGGUAGCAAACAGGAUUAGAUACCCUGGUAGUCCACGCCCUAAACGAUGCAUACUUGGUGUGAGCGAUUCAUUUCGUUCGUGCCGGAGCUAACGCGUUAAGUAUGCCGCCUGGGGAGUACGGUCGCAAGGCUGAA